GUGAUUAUUUUCUUAUUUUCAGUUAAUUUAAUAUUACUAAAGAUGCAGUUAAGGUUAUUUUAGUUAAGUUAACGUAUUUACAGUGAUAGUAAAAGUUUUGAUUCGCGUGAAUAGUGCGGGAUAGGACUGUAUAGUGUAAGUUUACAGGGUCAAUGCUCGAAAGCGGUUCCGUUUAGUGAAGUGUGAUAGUGUUGAGUGGUGUUGGCAAAAUUGUACUCAUUGGAUGACUGAACAUAGUGAAAAGAAUGUUCCUCGUUGUAUAACCUUGCAAGCGGCAUACCGGACGAAUACGAAUAUGCUGUAGUGGGAUAAAAAAGGAUGUAAUCGCAUUGGAUUUAAUGCGAUGUUCACCAGUCUGCAGGAUUUGGUUCCAAACCAACAGUGAGUAAUAUUGUAAAUUAAGUGAGCCUGCUGAGAGACUACCUAACACAUUGAAUGUGUUAUGCAAAGGUAAGUUGCAAAGUCGUAAGACUGACAAUCUCGUAAUGGGUGUGAUAUUACGUUUUAACGCUAAACUAAAAAGAAUCGCCCGUUAAGCUUUUCACUGGUAUUUUAUAAUAUUUCACAUUUUACUAGGGAAGCGUUUCCCCUUAUUAUAUUUUCGCUUUAUGCUCGGGUAGCGUUUCCCCUUGGUACGAUAAACUUAAUCUCGCUUUUGCUUUAUCCUAAACCGCUAUUUAUACCGAUUCCUUAACCAUCUAAUCCUAUUUUAUCUAAUUUACUUCCUAUUAGUCGCAUUACGAUUAAUGCUUGAGUUAGUUUCGGAUGCCGUGAAUACUUAUUUUGAACUAUCCUUCUUUGGCGUUAAAAUACUGGUGUAUUUUCUCACAGUCCGAAAGCUAAUGUCCGUCUUUCUCUUUGCGCACGCAUGCCCCCCGGGACGAUCCCAUUCUUGACCAUAUAAGGCUAAAUCCUGCCUACAAUCCGCGAUUGGUCCUUUGCCCUCACGCACUCUUUUCUACUAAGAGAGGAUCGUUACCCAGGCGUCCUCUGGUAGCUUCUAGCUGCGAUCUCUCGCAUGGCCCUAUUUCGUCGGAUGAACUACCCUACUCCUCCUACAGGAAUGUCGAGCACGUCUACUCAUUGUUGACACUUCCUAUGUAACUUCUAAUGCUAAUUUAUCCUAUCCUUAUCUUUAACUAUUUAUUUAUCCUAUUCUACCAAGUACAACAGUUUCCAUAAUUCUACUAUAAUUAAUUUCAAUUUUAAUUUAUUUUAAUGUGUCUGCCGUAAGGCUACACAUAUCUUAAAAUAUUAUAUCUUAAACCAUAAUAUAUACCUAAAAUCUAUAUUUUAUGUUAUUAAAAUAAGUUCGAUUACCUAUUUUGUAUUUCUAUAAUAUUAUGAUUGUUUGAUGUGUAGGCGCCACACCUCCCCAAUUUUAAAAAAUAUAAAAAUUAUAUGUUAUAGAUUUUUAUCAUUUAACUAACCUAUUCUUAAGGACAGUACUUUCCCUUUUAGGGAAUAUGGUAUAGUAAGAGCGUUCCUGUUAUGCUUGGGUGUUUUUGGAAGAGGGCCCACCGUAUCUAUUGAUACUACUUCGAAUGGUCCCAAAAGCGUCGUUGUUACCAAGGAUUUUUCUAUUGUGUGACGUGUUAUUUUGUUUAUUUUGCAUAUAUCGCAGUUUUUCCACAUUUUUUUAUAUCUUUGUUCAUGUUUUUCCGUUUGUAUUUUUCUCGUAUUUUUAAGUACAAGCGAUAUUGAUCAACAUGUCCUCCCGAGGGUAACAUGUGAUAAUUGUUUAGGAUUUCCUAUUUCCUAUUUCCUUUACUUCUUCUUUCCUGCUCUAUUUGCGAUUUCCUUAACCGUAAUGUCUACGACCAAAUUUACACCCUCAAGUCUACGACCGGCAUACCCGGGUAUGCCAUACAUUUUGUAUGGCGAGUGGAACUUUUCUGUCUUUAAAAUGUAAAAGCUGAAAAAGUCGCUUAGAUAAAGCUGAAAAAGCUUAGAAAAAGUCGAAAAAGCAAUAAUAAACAAGUCAGAAAAAAUCUAAUUAUUUGCCAAAACAAAGAAAACUAAUGUAUGUAGCUGUGUACGAAAUUAAAAAUUUUAAUAUUCAAUACAGCCUGAGUUAUUACAGUUUUAAGACAAAAAAGUUCCACUCGCCAUACAAAAUGUAUGGCAUUCCCGGGUAUGCCGGUCGUAGACUUGAGGGGUAAGAAAAGAAAAUCACGAAAAAAAUAUUUGCGAUUAACAUAAAAAUAAAUUAAAAACGCAUUCUAUAAGAGAAUUAAAUUUGCUACAGAUACAAAAAAAAAUCAGAACAAUAUCUUUUUUCUGGAAAAAGUUAUUAAAGUUUGAAAAUGAAAAACAUACCCGGGUAUGCGGUCGUAGACAUAACGGUUAAUAGUUUGAGGCGAGAAUUGAGUAAAAAUUUCAUCUCCCAUGGAGAUAGCUAAUUUAUCUCUAUAUAGCUUUUUAGCAUGAGUCCAUUUUCUUAGAAGAGCAGACUCGAGCGCCUGACUUCCAUCUUGUUUUGUUUUGAUAAUUGUACUGCAUAGCUCCUUGUUAUCGUUGCUGUUGAAAAGUGUUAUUUUAAUAGCAUCUCCAUUUAUCUUUGAUUGUAUUUUUAAUAGGUUAUUGACCUUUGAAGGAUUCUCUGUAUUCCAAAAUGAUGGUGUAUUUAUGGUUUCACUUCUGCCGUUCUGUGUUAUUGGAUUUGUUUCGUUUCUAUUGGUUCUAGUCGUUGCCCUAACCUUUACUACCAACGCUUGGUUGUUUUUAUUCUCGCAUGUACAUUCUUGCAAUGAUUUUAAAUGAUCAAAAGUAAUUAUGAUUCUGGACACAGCGUCAGCACUAACAUUAGUUUUACCGGCUACAAAUUCUGCUUCAAAAUCAAAUUCCUCAAGGUCCAAUUUCAUUCGGGUAAGUUUGUAGGUUGGAUUUUUCAUGUUGAACAAAUUCUAAGGUCUAUGAUCAGUACGAAUUUUAAAUUUUCGACCAUAGACAUAGGGUUUAAAAUAAUUGAUAGCCCAAUGUAUAGGUGUCAAUUCUUUUUCUAUGGUUGGUUUCUUUUUCUCGCCUUUUGUAAAGCUUUUAGAAGCAAAUGCCACUGGGUGGUGAUCUCUGCAAUACAUUUGUGAAAGAAUGGCCCCGCAUGAUGUGUCAGAUGCUUCAGUAGUAAUAAUAAUAAUAAUAAUAAUAAUAAUAAUAAUAAUAAUAAUAAUAAUAAUAGUAAUAAUAAAGUAGCAAGGACUGACUAUCCGGCUACGUGGUAAAAUAAGUCUAGUAAGCCAGAAAUGGCCGGCGUGACCUGUAAGGUCGUUAAGCCAAGAAGAAGAAGAAGAAUAAAAUCUUUUGAAAAAUUGGGAUAUCUUAGUAUCAUAGGUGACAAAAGAUUGUUGCGUAAAGUAUCAAAUGCGUUCUGACAUUAGUAUGACCAAUACAAUAAUUUCCCUUUCUUAAGUAAUUCGUUUAAAGGUUUCGCAAUUGCUGCAAAUUUACGGAUGAAUUUGUGAUAAUAAUUGCAGAAGGCAACAAAUUUUCUAACUUCGUUUGUGUUGCACGGUUAAGGAUAGUUUUGUAUUACAUCGAAUUUAGAUUCGUCCGUGUAAAUGCCCUUGUCUGUAAUGCACAUUUUUGAGGUUGUACUGACGUAGUCGAUCAAAAACUCUUUCUAAGUUUUCAAGGUGAUGCCUAAUAGUGCAUCCUGUAAUGACGAUAUCAUCAAUGUAAAGGAAAGCACUCUGGUGUUAGUCCAGCCAUCACUAUUAUUAUCAUCCUCUGAAAACUGUUGAUGCUCACAUUUAGUCCGAACGGCAACCUUUUAAAUUGGUAGUGGCCUGAAGCGGUGGAAAAUACAGUAUAUUUUCUCGAUUCUUUUUAAGGGGAAUUUGAUGGAAACCUGACAUGAGAUCGAGUGUUGUAAAAUAUUUUGCCCUACCUAGUUAGUGUAGUAUUUUAUCUAUCCCGAGCGAUGGAAAUUUGUCCAGCAUUAUAUUUUUAUUCAACUGACGAUAGUCUAUGAAAAGUCUACAUUUUUUCUCUGCCUAUGAUUUUUUUGGAAUUAGUAAUAUCGGAGAAUUAUGAGAUGAGACCCAAUGUUAGAUAAUAUCGUUUCUUAACAUCUUGUCGACCUGUUAUUUCAUUUACUUGGGCGUAAAUUUGUUUGUAAUUCGGACUGCAACGUGGUAUGUUAUCUUUUAACUGUAUUGACUGUUUAUAAUAGUUAUUGGUGGAGAUUUUAUAAUCAUUUAUGCAAAAGAGUUCUGUAUAUUUUGCUAAAAGAUUAUUCAAUUCAUUAUGGAUGUAUUGCAGAAUUGUUUUCGUAUCUACGCUUUCUAUUAUACUAUCAAAUCUUGGUUUUUCAUUGGAGUGGGGUGAUUGCUUCAUUAUAUUGUAAUUUUUUAUUAGGUCGACUUGGGAUUUGAACGAUUUGUUACUGACAAACACAUUCUUCUCAGUUGUGUUUAUGAAUUUAACGUAUUGAUUUCCUUUUCCUAUAAUUGAAUUAUCACAGAAUACUCCAGGGCUGAUUUCUUCUGCAAAUACUAUAAUCUUCUUUUAUGUUUGGCAGUUUUACUUCGCUUAUUACUUCGCUUAAUAUUGGUAAUAUAAAACCAUCAUUUGUUUUAUCUUCGAUAGGGGCACUGAUGUCCUUGUGGUAAAUAUGAAGAAGCCAGUGUUAAUAGUCAAUAACGCAAAUAAAUCUCUACCUAAUAUUCCAUCUGCGCCAAUGUCUAAAUCUUUUGGUAUCAGAUGAAAUUGGUGAUUGACAGACGUCUCACCAAAGUGUAUAGAUGUAUAGGUAGUUGUCAAAAGUAUCUAUUGAAUGAGUGGUAAUACCUGUAAGAUUAAUUUUGUUUUGUGCGAAUACUUGAUGAUUUAACUUAAUUUUUUUUAAUUUUUAACAGAGAAACGUCUGUUCCAGUAUCUACGAUAAGAUGGCUGUGCUGAUCUGUAGACAUUUCUAUUCUGACUUUUAUAAAGUUAUUAGCAUUUAAGUUGAUAGGUAUGAUUGGCAAUCGGUAGGCAGUGGCUUGAGUAGUGUAAACCCUUCUGUUAGCACCUGAAUUUUCGCGCGAAUGAAAAGUCCUUUAUGAAUUUCUCCGUUGUGUUAGCAAGAUUUUUUUAAACUUUUGAGUUUUCUCUUUAUUUUACGUUAUGAAACACAUAUAAACUAGUUCGCUCUUCGCCUGUCGUGAUGCUACUGACUAAAAACAAUGACGUAAAACCCAAAACCGCCAGAUUCCGAGCCGGAGGUCCUUCGACCCCGAGGCCCAAACCAGCGCCCUCUUGACCCCUAGGUAUCGCAACCUGGCGCACUCCGAUAUAAUAUUUUAUAUAUUUAUUGCUCAACGGACUCAAAGUGGGUAAAGAGACUAGGUGGGCUUAUAGCUUUGAUGCGGUAGACAUAUUGAAAACCAAUUGGAAGUUUGUGGGUUCGAUUGUAAUACAUAUAUUUUCACUCACACACAUAGCACGUUCCAAAGGAUUCGCUCACAUACACUGACAAAAAAUCGAACCCAUAAACGUCAAAUUUUAAUUCAUUUUUCUACAGCGCAGCUGUCAAAUCGUUAGGGAUAAGCCCACCUGAUAUCUAUACCCACUUUGAACGGACUCAUAAAGCCCAGUCGACAGCGUUUACAACGUGGCGGUGUGGUGUCAGAUCAGAUAGUGUUUCUAUUCGUGUUUCUGAAAAAAUCGUUUUUUUGAUUUUUGUUUCCGUGAGUUUAACUUUAUCAAUAAGUGUUUCUAUUCCACGUUUGAUUGCCAUACUUUGUACUUAGUUUUUCAACUUCUUCGCGUAGGCCUUUAGUAUCUGUAUGUCGGAUUGCUUUUAAAUUUAUUAUGACCUUGUCGGGAUUUAUUUUUUCCUGACACCGUGACUGUACAUCAUUUAUAAGUGUUUCAAGUCAGUGUUCAAAAUCAGUUAUGUUUGGUGCGAAAUCUAAUUUAGGCUCCUGUUAAACGUGUUUUAAGAAACUCUACCAAGAUUUGAUUCGUGUCUUUUGGAUAAUUUUUUUUUUAGUAAUUUAGAUGAACCCAGAAAAUUUUCAAAACUGUCGGCUUUGCCAUCAUAUACAGUGUCGGACAAAGCAAUAAGGCCACAAGUUGUUCGAUUGUUAAAAUGUCAUGAAUGGUUACUUAUACUAGUUCAAAUAUUAUCAAAUUUUGAGAAAAGCAUGAACAAAGUGUCUUUGUAAUGUCCUCUUAACCGUUUUUGGUUUAAGCGUCAAGUAUGAAAGUUAUGAGAAGAAGUAAUCAAAAAGUCAGAAAUUCGUUCGUCAUAAUAAUAAGGCCAGUUAAAUUUUUUGUACUAAACAGUUUUUUUUACAAUCGUUUUGGGCAUUUCAUCCCACUUUAUAACCAUACCCCGGGCUUGCUCGGUAGUUUUAAUACUUGGUAGCAUGCCCAUCGUUCCGAAGAACAUCUCUUACUCUUCGGGGCAUGGAUUCAACCAACGUUUGGCAGAUUUCUGGAGGAAUUGCGUACCAUGCUUGUUGGAUAUCCUCCCAAAGCUCCUCCUUGCUUCGAGAACCUUCGGCUGGAAGCUGCGACUUCACAAUCGCUCACAGGUUCUCUAUCGGAUUCAGAUCCGGCGAUUGUGCAGGCCACUCCAUCACGUCAACUUUUUGAUCCGCAAGCCAUUUCUUCACCAUUUUAGCGGUAUGCUUGGGAUCGUUGUCGUGCUGGAACUGCCACUUCAGCGGCAUCUCCCACUCGGCAUGAGGCAACAUCACGGUUCGUAGUAUUUCUGCGUAGCAGUGCUGGUCCAUAAUACCUUUAAUAAAAAAGAUGGGACCAACACCGUGCCACGAGAAACAACCCCAAACCAUGAUGUUGCCCCCGUGCUUAACGGUCUUUACUUUAUACUGCGGUUUAUACGCAGUGUUAACUGGUCGACGCACCCAGCGUUUGCCGUCCGAAGCAAACAAAUUGACCUUGGUUUCGUCGGACCACAGUACAUUCCGCCACUUGUCGCUGGCCCAAUCAACGCGCUUUUGCGCAAAGUUGAUUCGCGCCUGCAAGUGGCACCGUUUCAGCAACGGAACCUUGCGGCGACACCGGCCGACCAGGUUGUUCUCAACCAGGCGACGCUGGACCGUUUUAUCGCUUCAUAGCUUCAUAGCUCAUAGCUUGGGGCGGCCCGGUGGUGCAUGUGAUAAACGGCGCCAGUCCACACGGCCGGACCGGGUUCAAAUCCCAUUCGGACCGUCCCCCCGUAGCAAGGACUGACUACCCGGCUACGUGGUAAAAUAAGUCUAGUAAGCCAGAAAUGGCCGGCGUGACCUGUAAGGUCGUUAAGCCAAGAAGUAGUAGUAGAAGUAGCUUCAUAGCUCCAGCUCGUCCCUUAUCGCUCUGGCCGACUUAAACGGAUCGGCCUUACACAACCGCGUCAUCCUACCAUCGUCUCUCGCAGUAGUUUUGCGCGGACGACCGGCGGAUACCUUUCUUCCCGUGCUAUGAAUAGCAUUCAUUACAAAGGUUUUCGAGCGCCCAAGCUUGGCAGCAAUCGCGCGCUGCGACUCGCCAGCAGCCGUCAAACGCUUGAUCAGCUGACGCUGCUCUUCAGUUGCGUGCACACCACGACCCAUCGCAAACAACAAAGCAAAAAACACUUGAUAAAACGGGAGCAAAAAAGAACGUGUGGUCUCGUCGAAGGCUUUGAACACAGUGCUAGCGAUUGACUGCUGAUACCCGUCCGCUCAAUUGACGAGCGAUUUUUUGGCUUUUUUACGUUUUCUGUUCAUAACUUUUUAGUUAAAUGACCUAUCCACUAACUGUUCUGCAGAAAUGAAGCUUACACGUUGUUAAUCCUUUCCUGAAAAUAUAGUUAAGUUUAAAGUACUAUAACUAAAAAAAUAGUACAUUCGUAUAAGCGUUAACCGAGUGGCCUUAUUCCUUUGUCGGACACUGUAUGUGGACCAAUGUCGCAGCAAUUUUAAUAUGAAACUCCACCAUUUUUCUUGAUUGCCAACGACGUAAUACAAUGCUAAUCUUAGCUAGUGUUUUAAAUUUAAAUACUUUAUUCUGUAGUAGGAACUGUAUGUAUAAAUGAAUGUUGGUGUAGCUGUAAUUUGCUGAUUUGUGUAUAGUUUCUAAUUCCACUGGUAUCUCUGAUGGUUUCGCUUUUGCUACUAAUUUUUUUAAUUUCCCAAACGCAUCAUUGGCACCAAUACCAUAAUGUUCAAUCAAGCAUCUACGAAACUUCUGAUCUCCCGGUCUUAGGUGUUCUUCUUUUUCUUGUAAUCUUUUUACAUAUUGUUUAAUUUUGGGUAGCAAUGAAAAGAGCAUGUAGAGCGUAAGGAGUGCCCAAAGUGAUUAUUCUUGAAAACGUAUGAUUGAUAGUGAGUAUUUUGUGUUACUAUUAAAUGCCCAUAUUAUUAAAAUUUUGAUAGUACAAUCGUAUUAAGAGGUAAAAAUUAAUUGAGCAAUUACAUUCAUGACACCUGCUACGCUUUUGUUUGGUAUACGCAUUUUCUAUUGUACAAUAAUUCACAUAAUAUCCUUCCUUGAUGGGGAUUCGCUCGAGUAUAGUUGUUUCAUAUCGUAUCUCUGCUGCUGUUGCCGCCGACUGCUCUCACUGCUCGUCAUACGUUGGUACGCCUUCCGCUGCUGUUGUACACUUCACGCACUGCUCGUACCGUUUGGCGCUCUCAUAUGUUAACUGCUAUCGCAGAACGAUUCUGCUCUCAUGUACUUCUUGUCGUCCACUGAUGAUGCUAACGAUACUGCACAGUUCUGCCCAAUACUAUCGUCUUGCAAUUCUCACUUCUCUUGCCGUCCACUCCUGAUGAUACUAGCGAUUCCGCACAUUACGCUUUCCUUUGAUGUUCUUUACGACACGCACUUUUAAGUUGUCUGUUUCACCGGUUCUCAUUGCGUGUUGUAGCGAUAGUGUAUCGCUCACUAUUUGGUGUGGUGGACGGUUCUCGUACCGAUCUUACUACUGUGUCCGAAAAAUAAAGUGACUGCGUUUUUUUUUCUUGAAUGGUUUCUUUUUAUUAGGCCAAAUGAAGGUCAUCACCUUCGAAGUAGUCCCCUUCCGAUGCAAUGGACCUCUUCCACCUCUUCUAUUACAUCUCGAAGCAGGUGAAAAACGCGCAUGCAGGGAUGUCCGUUAGUUCUGCCGUCGCUGCGGCUUCUAUCUCCUCGAUAGUGUCAAAACGGUGUCCCCGAAGCGGCCGCUUUAGCUCAGCCAGAAAUCGGCUGGUGCCAAAUUUGGCGAAUACGGCGGUUGCGAAACAAUAUGGCUGCCGGCUUUAUCGCGGCUUUAUCGCGACUUCUUGGGCCUCGGCUCGUUUGGGGAACGGUUAUCGCUGGACUGGUACGUUGCUUUCGGGUCGUAUGAGUAAAUCCACGUUUUGUCGUCAGUUAUAAUCGAUUUC